AGAAGCCGUGACAGGAGAGUGGUGAUUGGUGCAAGCGACAUGGUAUGAGGUUUUUUCUCUGAGGUUCGCUUAGGCCCCUGCACUCCUCAACACACUAAUUUUGCACAUGGAGAAAGGAAUGCGUGUGAUGGCUGGAGUCUUUCUCUCCUGGUGAGGCUUCGAGUUCCAAUCAAGGCUGAAUUGCCUCUUCUAAAGCUCCCCGGCCUUCUGCCAGCGUGGCAGGCACAAGAUCUCGAGAAAAUUCAGCUGCGCCGCCAUCUGCUGGACGUUCGGAGACACUGCAGGAACCCGUAGAUAGAACAAAGGGUUGUCAGUGAAGACCUAGCUUUUUGCCCAGGAACUAGUGCCAAAUCAAGGAUACAUUCCGUCUGCUCAUCCAAAAACAAACAAACAAACAAACGAAAAAAACACUAACAGACCCUUUGCUAGAAAGGAGUCUCCGUGUUGAGAAGCACUUGGAUCUGAACGAACUGGGGUUGAUGGCCACACAGAAAGCCCAGGGCUGCUAUGGAAAGGCAGAAUCCUCUUCAUUACCUACAUCCAUGCUGGGCACUCACUAAAAACUAAAACGUUGUUUUCCAUCGCUGCACACAGGGGGUUUCGGGGACAGAAGUCACAUUGCCCUUGUUCUCCUGAGUGGACUGCUUUUGCUGAAUGGAAAUGAUUUGAAAGGUGAAAGGUGACAGAAACAAAAAUCGAUCUGGGGGUUGGAAGGUGCUCAGAUGUAGCCCUGGCGGGGUUUCAUACGAGAUCGCGAAACCCUGCCACCGUUUUCCAACCUCUAGAGUCACUUCUGAUUCACUUGAAGAUUUUUCUAUUUAGCAGCUGCAGACCCUUUUCACACGAGGGACUAACCCCAUUUGCAAACACAUUUAUAUAUGUGCUUUCAAAGAAACAUUGUUUGUUUGAAGCGGUUAUUGAAAUAGUCCAUUCAGCAUUGCUGCAAACGCUGCUAUAACCCGCACUGCACUCUGAAGUCUCUUGGGGGAACUGGCCAACAGCAGAAUGAAGACCAGGGUCCGACUGGCCCACCCACCUGGGAAAAUCGGGUUCCACGGCAGAAGCCUUAGUAAUGGAAACACAUUAACAAAACAUAGCUCUGACCCCACGGAGCUAUUAACAAAACUAGUUUUUGUAUUCUGGAAUGAGCUUUCAGUGUUUUUCCUGAAAGAGAUAAAAUGGCUUGAUCAACCAUGUGGCCUACCGGAGCCUGGCUGAUUACAAAAGCCUUGGGGUCGAUGUCAGGUGACUUCCAUAUUCAGUGUGUUCUAAGGGCCUCCUACAUUUCUUCAAUAACUAAGCCCUCCAGGGAGAGACUGUCUGGUCCUACUGCUAGAAGAGGUAGCCGUCUCCAGAGUGCUUGGAGAAGAUACUACAGCAACCAAGGAAACAAAGAAAUGAAAGUUCCCUAUAGCAAGUCCUGGAUGGACUGUGUCAGAAAAUGGAGCAUGGUUUUGUCGAUUUUUUGUAGUAUUUAUUUAGUGUGUAUACAGUGUUCUGCCUGCACACCAA